UUGAAAGGGAAACGAUUGAAGUCAGUCGUACCUGUGGGUAAUCAGCCUUUUGGGUGUGAUUUUGUGGAGUGUGAGGAGUUAAACGCCUUCAUGCCUGCAUAUUCGUGCACUUUGGGUGUAUUUACCCGUGUGGUAAGUUAACAUCAAUUUCGGUGGUCAUAAAAUGGCUGGAGGAAUGUAGCUUCGAUCUUGUAUUGAAGUGUUAUAGCCUUCGGUAGAUGUGAUGAUCGGGAUUGAGGAUUGCAACGGAUACCCUCGGGGCUACCUGUCUGAUCUCUGAUCGUUGCUCUGGUGCCGAAAGCUUGCUUACGGUUAUCAAAGUCGAUGGUUAAUAGGUUAGAACGGGUUAAAUCGUUAAGGAUGUUGACGUA
rnacentral:rRNA from 1 species